rnacentral:rRNA from 1 species
CCUACGGGAGGCAGCAGUGGGGAAUAUUGGGCAAUGGGCGCAAGCCUGACCCAGCAACGCCGCGUGAAGGAAGAAGGCUUUUGGGUUGUUAACUUCUUUUAAGGGGGAAGAGCAGAAGACGGUACCCCUUGAAUAAGCCACGGCUAACUACGUACCAGCAGCCGCGGUAAUACGUAGGUGGGAAGCGUUGUACGGAUUUACUGGGUGUAAAGGGCGUGCAGCCGGGGAGAAAAGUCAGAUGUGAAAUCCACGGGCUCAAACCGUGAUCUGCAUUUGAAACUGUUUCCCUUGAGUGUCGGAGAGGUAGUCGGAAUUCCUUGUGUAGCGGUGAAAUGCGUAGAUAUAAGGAAGAACACCAGUGGCGAAGGCGGAUUACUGGACGAUAACUGACGGUGAGGCGCGAAAGCGUGGGGAGCAAACAGGAUUAGAUACCCCUGUAGUC